AUUGAACGCUGGCGGCAGGCUUAACACAUGCAAGUCGAGCGGGGUGAUGGUGCUUGCACUAUCACUUAGCGGCGGACGGGUGAGUAAUGCUUAGGAAUCUGCCUAUUAGUGGGGGACAACAUCUCGAAAGGGAUGCUAAUACCGCAUACGUCCUACGGGAGAAAGCAGGGGAUCACUUGUGACCUUGCGCUAAUAGAUGAGCCUAAGUCGGAUUAGCUAGUUGGUGGGGUAAAGGCCUACCAAGGCGACGAUCUGUAGCGGGUCUGAGAGGAUGAUCCGCCACACUGGGACUGAGACACGGCCCAGACUACUACGGGAGGCAGCAGUGGGGAAUAUUGGACAAUGGGGGGAACCCUGAUCCAGCCAUGCCGCGUGUGUGAAGAAGGCCUUAUGGUUGUAAAGCACUUUAAGCGGGGAGGAGGCCCUUUUGGUUAAUACCCAAGAUGAGUGGACGUUACUCGCAGAAUAAGCACCGGCUAACUCUGUGCCAGCCGCCGCGGUAA
rnacentral:rRNA from 1 species